CUUCUUUUCAUUAUUAAGAUUGAGGUAUUAUUACAAGUUACAACUAUUAACCAUAUUCUCUUGGCUACUGCAUAUGACUACACCUUUAUUAGAAGUAUUCAAGCUACUUCUCAUGUGACUGGCAGUGUCAUAGGUUAACCGAUGGUUGUCAAGUUGUGGUUAUAAGCUUUGUAUGAGAUUCGAAUAUUCUUCGGAGGACCUGACGAUAAUGAAGCGCUUGCUUACGGUAUGAGAAUAGUCGAACAUCCUGACAUUGUGCUAACUGUUGUUAAAUUUGUGUCUCCACCCGGAACAACAUUAUCAUUCGGCGCUAAGUUAGUCGGUGUUGCAUCAGUAGAAUAUACUAUGUUAGGAAGAAUAUAAAUAGGUUAAUAGUUGAUUGUAUAUUAUCAAAGAAUGUAAAUAGGUUAACUGGUGAUUGUAUGUUAUCAUUUCAUCAUUAAUUUUUUUA